GAUGAAGAACGUAGCAAAAUGCGAUAAGUAAUGUGAAUUGCAGAAUUCAGUGAAUCAUCGAAUCUUUGAACGCACAUUGCGCCCGCUGGUAUUCCGGCGGGCAUGCCUGUUCGAGCGUCAUUUCAACCCUCAAGCCCCCGGGUUUGGUGUUGGGGAUCGGCUCUGCCCUUCUGGGCGGUGCCGCCCCCGAAAUACAUUGGCGGUCUCGCUGCAGCCUCCAUUGCGUAGUAGCUAACACCUCGCAACUGGAACGCGGCGCGGCCAUGCCGUAAAACCCCAACUUCUGAAUGUUGACCUCGGAUCAGGUAGGAAUACCCGCUGAACUUAAGCAUAUAAAUAAGCGGAGGA
rnacentral:misc_RNA from 1 species